CUUCCCGACGCCACGUCCAUCAAACCUAUCGCCUGCAGAGCAAAGCGGUCUCCUGCAGAAGAGCUCACCUCCUCCCUGACGAAAGCAGCGAGGCGACCGCUCAGGCGACGCGGUGUGGGAUCAGUCGCUCCACUCCCCGCAGGACCAUGCAGACCCAACAAAAGCCGGCGGCGCAAGGGCGCGAACGAGCAGCGAAGCGCGGUAAAGGGAGAAGGGAAGCGCGCGAACCAGGGCAGUGGAGGCGCGGCGCGCGAACAAGAGGAGAAGGCGGCGCACCCUCGUCCUCAGCCCGCCGUCGACCUCGUCGAUUCAAGCUCGCCGUGCAAGCUGCAAUGGAAUACCAUCCUCCUAAUGGUUUCAUGAGCUUCCUUCAAGGCCAAAGUCAUCCAAACUUCACCUUGCCAGCCCCUCAGCAGCUUGGUUUCCAAUAUCCAAUGUUCUGCACGCAACCGCUGCCACCACCAGCCAAGCACCACCCUCUUCCAUCAACGUCUAAUCCCAGGAACACAACUCCAUCGAACAAGUGAAAACGUGUCAGAAUCGAUGUGGAAGCAGAUGAUGAAGAUAGACAGAGGUUGUACUAUACAAAAGAUGAGGACCUCAGAUUGGUGAGUGCUUGGUUAAGAAAAUCUGUGAACCCAAUCGAUGGGAAUGCCACGAAGGGGGAAUACUACUGGAAGGAGGUUGUUGAUACAUACAACAGCACAACAGAGAGUGAUCGACAAAGGGAUGUGAAGCACCUCAAGAACCAUUGGUACAAAACAACAAAGAAGGUAACCUCUUUCAAUGGCUGCUAUAACCAGUUGAGAGAUACCUAUGCGAGUGGCCGGUGUGAUAAACAAUUGAUGCAGCAAGCGCUAGACCUGUACCAAAGUCGCAAUGGGCACCAGUUCCUGUAUGUGCAUUGGUGGGAAGCUGUGAAAGAUAGCCAAAAGUGGAAGAUUCAUGUAUACACAGAAGGAGAUGGAACAAAGAGGUCAGCACCAAUACCAACUGAGAAUGCUCAGCGUCCCCCAGGAACAAAGAGGGCGAAGAAACCUACAGGAAAAGAUAAGGAAGCCCCUACUGAGAUGAAUAACAUGAAAGAACAGAUUGAGGCCUUUCUACAAGCACAAGCUGAUGCUAAGGAGCGAACUGCUGAGAUGAUGGAAUUGCAGAGUCGACUGUCUGCUCAGAAGGUAGAAGCUAAUCGACUUGCAUAUGAGGCAGCAAAGGAGAGGACAGUGGCCAAGUUAGCAGAGGAAAGAACCAAGUUGUUUGACAAGUUCACAGAUAUGUUGAGUGCUGACACAACAAGAAUGGAGCCAUGGGCAAAGGAGAUGCAUAUGAAGGCUGUUACAAGAUUGGGGGAUCAACUUUUCAGGGAGGAAUAGAAGAUGUUCUACAUAUAUGUCCAAGAAAAGCGGAUUUCAUGUGCCAGGAAGCGUAGAAGAUGUGAGACUUUUUUUUGGAAUGAGAAGAAUCAAUGGAUACAACAAAAAAUUCAGUCUGAAAUUUGAUUUGUGUGUUUACAAAUCUUUCCUUUAUGGGUAUUUGAAAACCUUAAGAUUAUUCUGUUACUAUGGGAUUUUACAGUGUCAUGGACAAGACAUACUCGUUGACACUGUU